GGGAAAUUUGAAACAAGCGCUUAUCAUCCGUAUGAUAGCCUAAACCUCCGCAGACACCUAGCAAGUUCUCUCUCUCUCUCUCUCUCUCUCUCUCUCUCUCUCUCUCUCUCUCUCUCUCUCUCUCUCUCUCUCUCUCUCUCUCUCUCUCUCUCUCUCUCUCGUUUUUUGUUGCCAGUUGUCGCCUGUUGCGAGAUGACGCAUUACCAUUUACCAGCAAUUAGUCGCUCACAACCACUGACCCCGGAAGGAAGUUCAAGGAACCAUGGAGGGGAAACAGACCAAAUCUGACGGAGAGCUCAUGCCUCCUCCACGAGCCCCACCGAGGAGAGCUGCCGCCCGACCAAGGAGGGCUGCCACUCCACCCCUUCCACCUCAGCCACCAGCACCGGAGGAUGUCCCACGCCUUCGAAGAUCAUUUGCUUUUAUGGAAUCCAAGACAAGAGACGUGGGGACCCUGACUCCCGUUUCCUCCCAGGACUCGAAGAAAAGAGACGUGGGGACCCAGACUCCACACUGGUACCCUAGGAAUAGGGCAAACUCUCCGGAGUUGUAAAUAAAAU